AAAGAGUGUAGAUUUUGAUGCCAUGCCAGUGGGUGGCAGACUUAUGCAUUUCUUUUCGGUAUGGCAGAAGACUACUACAGACAAAUGGGUCCUGUCAGUAAUUUAAAGCGGUUCCAAGAUAGAAUUUCUCGAAAAUUCCUCCAAGAAAGUUCCUUUGUUCCACAGAUCACUCCAAAGAGGUUGCUGCAGUGCUUCUCCAAGAGGUUUUGGCCUUGUGAUAGAAAUUAUUCCAAAAGAAGAAGAAUUCAAGGGGUCUUAUUCGAGAAUCUUUUUGGUAAAAAAAAAAAAAAACAGGUGGUUCUUUCCGUUCGAUUCUGGAUUUAAAAUUAGUAAACGGGUUUGUGGUUCAGAAAAAGUUUCACAUGGAAAAUAUCUUUUCCGCUGCCUACAUAAUUCAACAUGGCUAUGUUCCAUCGAUUUGUAGGACGCUUACCUACACAUGCCUAUAACAGAAGAAAGCAGAAGGUUUUUAAGAUUUGCCACAAAAGAUCGGGAACAUCUACUGCAUUUCCAAUUAAGGGCUUUGGCCUUUCUUCGGCUCCAUCUUUACCAAUAUGUUAGUGGUCAUCACGGGAGAAUUGCGAAAAAGGGGUCUCUACAUAGUCCUAUAUUUAGACCACUGGCUACUUAUAGCUUCCUCUGAAAUACAACUUCUAAAAGACAUCAGAAGUGCUUCUAUUACCCUCUGGGAGCAUGUUUGGAUCCUAAACAAAGAAAAAUCGGAACUAACUACAUCACGUUUAUCCAAUUUUUGGGACUCAUUUAACACUCCACUCGAAUGAAGAUCUUCCUACCAUUGGACAAGAUAAACAAACUCAGGGUAACAAUCCUUACCUUACAAAAGAAGAACUGUUGCACUAUAAGAGAAGCAAUGAAACUUCUGGGUCUGUUCACUGCUGCAAUCCCAGCAGUAAACUGGACCAAAGCACAUGUGAGACCAUUACAGAGAAACAUCCUCUCUUCUUGGAACAGAAAAACUACCGCCAAAGACCAAUCCAUGCACCUAAGCCCCUCGGCUCUACAAUGCUUUCAUUGGUGGAUGACAUCUCAUUUCAUUUUGGAAAGUCUAUCUUUCCACUUAAAAAAAAAUUGUGUUGGUAGCCACAGUCACAUAAAGUAUGGGUUGAGGUGCUCAUAUGGG